AUGGCGGGCCAGGAGGGGAAGGUUCUUGACGCACCAACGUCGCCGCCGCCCACGGAGACCAUGGCGGGCCAAGACGCACCAAAGUCGCCGGCGCCGGCCGGGGGUGACACCGGCCGUGACCACCUCAAGCUUCCGUUGGCCACCGACCAGGAUCCGGACGCCACGGUUCCUCAGGUCGGGUCUGGGGAUGAGGAGCAGGAGACGCUUGUCCGUGGGAAAAAGAAGAACGUGGACGAUCCAUCCGGAUCAGAUGCUUCGGGAUCCACCAAGAAACACCGCACCGCAGAUCUGUCGCAUGCCGCCACCGUUGAAGGCGCGGCAACAUCGACUGGACUCGCCCCCAGCCCCCCACGCCCUUUCCUGCCUACGCCUUCCUUUCUCACGAGCCGUUUUCUGCAGCAGCAGGCGUCCGACCGCCACCACGCUGGCCGCCCGGAGGUAUCACGGCGCCGGCCGGGGCAACAAUAUUCUUUGGACCCAUGA
rnacentral:rRNA from 1 species